CCUACGGGAGGCAGCAGUGGGGAAUAUUGCACAAUGGGGGGAACCCUGAUGCAGCGACGCCGCGUGAGUGAAGAAGUAAUUCGUUACGUAAAGCUCUAUCAGCAGGGAAGAAACACUGACCUUCCGGUCAGCAAACGGUACCUGAGUAAGCAGCCCCGGCUCACUACGUGCCAGCAGCGGCGGUAAUACGUAGGGGGCAAGCGUUAUCCGGAUUUACUGGGUGUAAAGGGAGCGUAGACGGUGCGCCAAGUGUGGAGUGAAAGGCCGCAGCUUAACUGCGGAACUGCUGUGGAAACUGGCGAACUAGAGUGCGGGAGGGGUAAGCGGAAUUCCUAGUGUAGCGGUGAAAUGCGUAGAUAUUAGGAGGAACACCGGUGGCGAAGGCGGCUUACUGGACUGUAACUGACGUUGAGGCUCGAAGGCGUGGGGAGCAAACAGGAUUAGAUACCCCUGUAGUC
rnacentral:rRNA from 1 species